CCAUAUUGGUUCCCAUUGAGUUCCCAUUGAGUUCCCAUUGGGGUCCCAUUGGGUGCCAUAUUGGUUCCCAUUGAGUUCCCAUUGAGUUCCCAUUGCGGUUCCCAUUGGGCGCCAUAUUGGAUCCCAUUGGUUCCCAUUGAGGUUCCCAUUGGGCGCCAUAUUGCUUCCCAUAUUGGUUCCCUUUGGGUGCCAUAUUGGUUCCCAUUGAGUUCCCAUUGAGUUCCCAUUGGGGUCCCAUUCGGUGCCGUAUUGGUUCCCAUUGGGUUCCCAUAUUGGUUUCCUUUGAGUUCCCAUUGGGCGCCAUAUUGGUUCCCAUUGAGUUCCCAUUGGUUCCCAUUGGGUUCCCAUGUUGGUUCCCAUUGGGAUUCCCAUUGAGUUCCCAUUGGGUUCCCAUUGGGCGCCAUAUUGGUUCCCAUUGAGUUCCCAUUGGGCGCCAUAUUGGAUCCCAUUGGGUUCCCAUUGGGUUCCCAUUGGGCACCAUAUUGGUUCUCAUUGAGUUCCCAUUGCGUUCCCAUUGGGGUUCCCACUGGGUUCCCAUUGAGUUCCCAUUGAGGUUCCCAUUGGGUGCCAUAUUGGUUCCCAUUGAGUUCCCAUUGAGUUCCCAUUGAGUUCCCAUUGGGGUUCCCAUUGGCCGCCAUAUUGGUUCCCAUAUUGGUUUCCAUUGGGUUCCCAUUGGGCGCCAUAUUGGUUCCCAUUGGGAUCCCAUUGGGCGCCAUAUUGGAUCCCAUUGAGGUUCCCAUUGGGCGCCAUAUUGGAUCCCAUUGGGUUCCCAUUGCGCGCCAUAUUGGUUCUCAUCGGGGCUCCCAUUGGGUUCCCAUUGGGCGCCAUAUUGGAUCCCAUUUUGGUUCCCAUUUGCGGUUCCCUUUGAGUUCCCAUUAAAAUUCCCAUUCAGGUUCUCAUUGAGUUCCUCUUGGGGUUCCCAUUGGGCGCCAUAUUGGAUCCCAUUGGGUUCCCAUUGGGCGCCAUAUUGGUUCCCAUAUUGGUUCCCAUAUUGGUUCCCAUUUGGGGUUCCCAUUUUAGAACUCCCAUUUACAGCAAGACCCCAAAGACCCCAACACUCCCUCCCCUCUCCCCCCCCCCACCCAGAGCUGACCCCAUAACCGCAACCCCGCCGUGCCCCACAGGUGUGGGACGUCACCACGGAGGACCUCUGCAGCGGCACCGCGACCCUCGACGGGUUCCGGGGGGUGGUCUUCGUGGGGGGGUUCAGCUACGCCGACGUCUUGGGGUCGGCCAAGGGGUGGGCGGCCGUGGCCCGCUUCGACCCCCGGGUGCGGGCGGCGCUGGAGGGGUUCCGCCGUCGCCCCGAUACCUUCAGCUUGGGGGUCUGCAAUGGGUGCCAGCUGCUGGCGCUGCUCGGAUGGGUGG
rnacentral:lncRNA from 1 species